UUCUGCAGUCAAACAACGCUGAACCUGGAAGAACUUGUCUAAACUCAGAAGCUAAGUAGGAUUGGCCUGAUUAGUAUGUGGAUGAGAGAGCUUCUGGGAUACUAGGUGCUGUUUACA
rnacentral:rRNA from 1 species